UACGAAGGGGGCUAGCGUUGUUCGGAAUUACUGGGCGUAAAGCGCAUGCAGGCGGAUCGCUAAGUCAGGGGUGAAAGCCCGAGGCUCAACCUCGGAACUGCCUUUGAUACUGGAGAGCUUGAGUCCGGGAGAGGUGAGUGGAACUGCGAGUGUAGAGGUGAAAUUCGUAGAUAUUCGCAAGAACACCAGUGGCGAAGGCGGCUCACUGGCCCGGUACUGACGCUGAGGUGCGAAAGCGUGGGGAGCAAACAGG
rnacentral:rRNA from 1 species